rnacentral:sRNA from 1 species
AUCAGACGUUUUGACAGCCCUUCAUGGAGCCGGGUCUUAGGGCUGUAAAGGGCUAUCAUUAAGAAGGCUUCCGAUCUAGAGUACAAAAUCCAGAGAAGAACCCUUUUCAAGGAAGACUUUAUCAAUUAUGUUCAAUAUGAAAUUAAUCUUUUGGAGCUGAUCCAGAGAAGAAGAACACGCAUUGGAUAUUCAUUUAAGAAGGAUGAGAUUGAGAAUUCUAUUGUACACCGGGUACAAGGUGUUUUCCAACGUGCCUCAGCAAAAUGGAAAGACGAUGUUCAACUUUGGCUCUCCUAUGUGGCUUUUUGUAAGAAGUGGGCUACUAAAACUCAACUUAGCAAGGUAUUCUCUGCCAUGUUGGCGAUUCAUUCCAACAAACCAGCUUUGUGGAUUAUGGCAGCCAAAUGGGAAAUGGAAGAUCGAUUGUCUUCAGAAAGCGCAAGGCAACUAUUUCUUCGGGCACUGCGCUUUCAUCCAGAGUGCCCAAAACUUUAUAAAGAAUACUUUAGGAUGGAGCUGAUGCAUGCUGAAAAACUGAGGAAGGAGAAGGAAGAAUUUGAAAAAGCCAGUAUGGAUGUGGAGAAUCCUGAUUAUUCUGAAGAAAUCCUUAAGGGCGAGUUGGCAUGGAUCAUCUACAAAAAUUCUGUAAGCAUAAUUAAAGGGUCUUACUCUGUCACCCACGCAGGAGUGCAGUGGUACAAUCAUGGCUCACUGUAGCCUCGACUUCAUGGGCUCAGGUGAUUCUCCCAUUUCAGCCUCCUGAGUAGCUGGGCAUGGACCUCUAUGCCUGGCUAGUUUUUGUACUUG